AUUGAACGCUGGCGGCAUGCUUUACACAUGCGAGUCGAACGGCAGCGCGGGCUUCGGCCUGGCGGCGCGUGGCGAACGGGUGAGUAAUACAUCGGAACGUGCCCAGUAGUGGGGGAUAGCUCGGCGAAAGCCGGAUUAAUACCGCAUACGACCUGAGGGUGAAAGCGGGGGAUCUUCGGACCUCGCGCUGUUGGAGCGGCCGAUGGCAGAUUAGCUAGUUGGUGGGGUAAAGGCCUACCAAGGCGACGAUCUGUAGCUGGUCUGAGAGGACGACCAGCCACACGGGGACUGAGACACGGCCCAGACUCCUACGGGAGGCAGCAGUGGGGAAUUUUGGACAAUGGGCGAAAGCCUGAUCCAGCAAUGCCGCGUGUGUGAUGAAGGCCUUCGGGUUGUAAAGCACUUUUGGCGGGAACGAAAAGGACUGUGCCAAUACCACGGUUCGAUGACGGUACCCGCAGAAUAAGCACCGGCUAACUACGUG
rnacentral:rRNA from 1 species